GACGAACGCUGGCGGCGCGCCUCAUGCAUGCAAGUCGAACGAUAACUAGCUCAUUCGUAAGAAUGAGUUAGGGACAGUGGCGAACGGGUGCGUAACACGUGAGAAACCUGCCCUGGAGACCGGGAUAGCCCGAGGAAACUCGGAUUAAUACCGGAUGCCCUCACCGGACCACAUGGUCUGAUGAGGAAAUGGUCAGCCGCUCCAGGAUGGUCUCGCGGCCUAUCAGCUUGUUGGUGAGGUAAUGGCUCACCAAGGCUCUGACGGGUAGCUGGUCUGAGAGGACGAUCAGCCACACUGGGACUGAGACACGGCCCAGACUCCUACGGGAGGCAGCAGCAGGGAAUAUUGCACAAUGGGCGAAAGCCUGAUGCAGCGACGCCGCGUGCGGGAUGAAGGCCUUCGGGUUGUAAACCGCUUUCAGGAGGGACGAAAAUGACGGUACCUCCAGAAGAAGGCCCGGCCAACUACG
rnacentral:rRNA from 1 species